rnacentral:rRNA from 1 species
GACGAACGCUGGCGGCAGGCUUAACACAUGCAAGUCGAGCGGAGAUGAGGUGCUUGCACCUUAUCUUAGCGGCGGACGGGUGAGUAAUGCUUAGGAAUCUGCCUAUUAGUGGGGGACAACAUUCCGAAAGGAAUGCUAAUACCGCAUACGUCCUACGGGAGAAAGCAGGGGAUCUUCGGACCUUGCGCUAAUAGAUGAGCCUAAGUCGGAUUAGCUAGGUGGUGGGGUAAAGGCCUACCAAGGCGACGAUCUGUAGCGGGUCUGAGAGGAUGAUCCGCCACACGGGGACUGAGACACGGCCCAGACUCCUACGGGAGGCAGCAGUGGGGAAUAUUGGACAAUGGGGGGAACCCUGAUCCAGCCAUGCCGCGUGUGUGAAGAAGGCCUUAUGGUUGUAAAGCACUUUAAGCGAGGAGGAGGCUACUGAGACUAAUACUCUUGGAUAGUGGACGUUACUCGCAGAAUAAGCACCGGCUAACUCUGUGCCAGCCGCCGCAGUAA